rnacentral:rRNA from 1 species
CCCUUAGACGUUCUGGGCCGCACGCGCGCUACACUGACCAGUGCAACAAGCAUCCGUCCUUGGCCGACAGGCUCGGGCAAUCUUUGAACGCUGGUCGUGAUGGGGAUAGACUUUUGCAAUUUUUGGUCUUCAACGAGGAAUUCCUAGUAAACGCAAGUCAUCAACUUGCAUUGAUUACGUCCCUGCCCUUUGUACACACCGCCCGUCGCACCUACCGAUUGAAUGGUCCGGUGAAGCCUCCGGAUUGGCGCGCACCCCGGUGCCGCCGAGAAGUUGGCUAAACCUUACCAUUUAGAGGAAGGUGAANUCGUANCA